rnacentral:rRNA from 1 species
GACGAACGCUGGCGGCGUGCUUAACACAUGCAAGUCGAACGGAAAGGCCCUGCUUUUGUGGGGUGCUCGAGUGGCGAACGGGUGAGUAACACGUGAGUAACCUGCCCUUGACUUUGGGAUAACUUCAGGAAACUGGGGCUAAUACCGGAUAGGAGCUCCUGCUGCAUGGUGGGGGUUGGAAAGUUUCGGCGGUUGGGGAUGGACUCGCGGCUUAUCAGCUUGUUGGUGGGGUAGUGGCUUACCAAGGCUUUGACGGGUAGCCGGCCUGAGAGGGUGACCGGCCACAUUGGGACUGAGAUACGGCCCAGACUCCUACGGGAGGCAGCAGUGGGGAAUAUUGCACAAUGGGCGGAAGCCUGAUGCAGCAACGCCGCGUGCGGGAUGACGGCCUUCGGGUUGUAAACCGCUUUCGCCUGUGACGAAGCGUGAGUGACGGUAAUGGGUAAAGAAGCACCGGCUAACUACGUGCCAGCAGCCGCGGUGAUACGUAGGGUGCGAGCGUUGUCCGGAUUUAUUGGGCGUAAAGGGCUCGUAGGUGGUUGAUCGCGUCGGAAGUGUAAUCUUGGGGCUUAACCCUGAGCGUGCUUUCGAUACGGGUUGACUUGAGGAAGGCAGGGGAGAAUGGAAUUCCUGGUGGAGCGGUGGAAUGCGCAGAUAUCAGGAGGAACACCAGUGGCGAAGGCGGUUCUCUGGGCCUUUCCUGACGCUGAGGAGCGAAAGCGUGGGGAGCGAACAGGCUUAGAUACCCUGGUAGUCCACGCUGUAAACGGUGGGUACUAGGUGUGGGGUCCAUUCCACGGGUUCCGUGCCGUAGCUAACGCUUUAAGUACCCCGCCUGGGGAGUACGGCCGCAAGGCUAAAACUCAAAGGAAUUGACGGGGCCCCGCACAAGCGGCGGAGCAUGCGGAUUAAUUCGAUGCAACGCGUAGAACCUUACCUGGGUUUGACAUGGAUCGGGAGCGCUCAGAGAUGGGUGUGCCUCUUUUGGGGUCGGUUCACAGGUGGUGCAUGGCUGUCGUCAGCUCGUGUCGUGAGAUGUUGGGUUAAGUCCCGCAACGAGCGCAACCCUUGUUCACUGUUGCCAGCACGUUAUGGUGGGGACUCAGUGGAGACCGCCGGGGUCAACUCGGAGGAAGGUGGGGAUGACGUCAAGUCAUCAUGCCCCUUAUGUCCAGGGCUUCACGCAUGCUACAAUGGCUGGUACAGAGAGUGGCGAGCCUGUGAGGGUGAGCGAAUCUCGGAAAGCCGGUCUCAGUUCGGAUUGGGGUCUGCAACUCGACCUCAUGAAGUCGGAGUCGCUAGUAAUCGCAGAUCAGCAACGCUGCGGUGAAUACGUUCCCGGG